GGGGUAUGGCUGUGUAGUGGCUAAAUUUGGCAGUGAUCUGGUAUGUGGACAAGUACGAUGAACGACUCCACCAGUUAAGUGCAGCAUCACCUUUGCAGAUAAUGGAAUAUUCCGGACACAGGGUGCAGUCACUAUCAUAGCAGCGAAGAGUUGCCUCGAGCACUUUUGGUCAGCUUGCGAGCGAAGAGUACAGAUGUUACCAGUCGUCUCUAUUUUGCAGUCAGAAGAUUGAAAAGUUUGCCGCACAUGGGAAGUACGUGCACUACCUGAUUGAGGGAUCGGUAUUGAUGUCUGGCUUCGGCUUCUACCACUGGGUUUUCCAGCUUGGAACCAUCCAGGAUUUCUUGGAGAGUUGUCUUUCUUUGACCUGUUCUUGGUAUAGCCUUUAGUGAACAUUUUGAAAAUUUAACUGGAUCCUUAAUAUCCCAACUUGGACUGAUAGCAUAAACUUUGGACAUCCUUAUAUUUAUAAUCAAGCAUUGUAUGAUAUCUGCUUUGAUGUACAUUUUUUCCUUUGAUGCAGUCUGUGGUGUAGAUUUCAAGAGACCACCUUCAGAGGCAACUCUGAAUUAACAGAGUUUUCUUAGCAGUAUCCAACUAAGCCAAUUAAUCUAUUAUUAGGGGUCCAGAUUAAGAUUGUUUCAUCCAAAUCUAUUGAAAAAUGUUACUUUAUCAUUUAUUGAGAGAUUAAUUUAACAAAGAAGCAUAUUUAUUUUUUUUAUUAAUUUUUUUAUAAUUUUUUUUAUCAAAAUGCAAUAUAUUUUUUAAUAACUAUUUUUCUUACAGAAAUCUGUUAUAAAAUUAAAAUCUAUUUAUCUAUAAAAAUAAACAUAACAGAAAACUUCACUAAAAAGUUUAUUUCAGAGUAAUAUUUCAAGGAAUAAAGAAAUUACACUAGUUUGAAAUUUUCAUUACAUGUAAUCUGACCUGAUGUUACACAUGAAUAUUGGUACCUCAGGUAAACA